UUCUGUCUGUAUAGACUCUUGGGAUGUGAACAGGUCUUCUGUCUGUAUAAUCUCCUUGAAGUAUGAAGGGGUCAGUAUAAUCGCUGGGUAAGAUGAUGGGGUAACCUGUGUGUAUAAUUGAUAAUAGUUUAUUUCAGUCUCUAUAUCCUCAAGUGUGUAUAAAUCAAGUGAAUAUAUCAUUCAUUGAGGCAUGUAAGCCAUGUUCUCCCUGUUGUAUGUCUCCUUUUCAAGCCCCCUGCUUGUCUGUUUGGCAAACUACCUGGUAAAUGUAUCUUUGUCACUUGUUUGCCAGGUCCCUGCUGGUGUAAAGGGAAACCUCCUGUUUCUGUGAAACCACCUCCUGGUGUGAAGGGAAACUUUCUGCUUGUGUGAAGGGGAAAUUGUCGCUGCCAAGGGUAACCUUCUGCUGGUGUGAAGGUGAACCUACUCCUGAUGUGAAAUUGAACAUCCUGCUUGAGCCAAUGGGAAAAGCCGUUUUCAUUGUCUGAGCCUCUUGAGUUAUCUUGGUGCUGCUGGAUGAUAGUGCUUGUUCACCACGCACGACUAGGAGAAGAGUACUGAAAUGAUGUACAUGCCAAUGUUUCUGAGAACAUUUCUUCAAGUCUUGUAAGCUAGUGCUAAUGAACGAUCUCUUGUUUGUCUGUCUAUUUGGUCAAUUUGUGUAAUUGAGCAUUCUUGCCUAAUUAUGUUGCCAUAUCUAAAAUAUCUUUUUAACAAGCAUUUGUGAGUUGCCCUCUGGCCUGAUAAGGUUAAAGAACAGAGUGUCCAUUAUCCUUUCUUGACGCAGGGACAACCUGUUUUCAUUUUCUCUGAGCCAAGUCCUCUUGGUGCUGUUUGAUGUUAAUGCCUUACACAACGUUCGGUGAGGGGAAGGGUACUGACUUGUAGGUUAUGGCUGUGUUCCGAAGAGCGAGUCUACAGGUCUCGUAAGUUUGUGUUAAUUUUGGAACAGCAAAGCCUAAAUGCUAACCGGACUCUCGAGCAUUAGUUUUAAUUGAUCUCAAAUAAUUCAACACGCACUAAGAUCUAAAAUUACGGUUUGGUACCUGAUGUGUCUCUGACGAAAGUAAUAUGUUGUUGUCAUUUUUAGGUGUGUAUAAGUCAUAAGACCACACAGGGGCGGUCGGGUAGCCUAGUGGUUAAAGCGUUCGCUCGUCACGCCAAAGACCCGGGUUCGAUUCCCGACAUGGGUACAAUGUGCGAAGCCAAAUUUCUGGUGUCCCCCGAGGUGAUAUUGCUGGUAUAUUGCUAAAAGCGGCGUAAAACCAUACUCACUGACUCAUAAGACCACCAUCAACAUACUUCAACGUACCUCUCAAACUGCUGACAAGUUCAAAACGGUCAAAGGGAAGUAACUCCAUGAUACUUCAGUUGUGCUUGUUUAAGAUCCAUGUCAUGGGGUAGUUCUGUUGUUAUGUCAUCUCGGAACUAUCACUUUUAGUCACACUGACACAAGUUCAACAAAUUAUAUUUAAACACACAGAUUUAGGUUUACAAUCAGAAAGCAAUACAACGAGUCAAGUAAGUGGCAGACCCAAUAAAUAACAGGCCUAGAAUUAAUGUUAGUGCACUCACGAAUGUCCAAAAUAUUUCUUCUGUUGAAUGUCUUAAAGAGGCAUGUAUCCUUUCUAGAAUCCAGAAUAGUAUUGGUAGCAGGGAAGAGUUCUGUUUUUCCGAAAAGGUAUUGAAACAGCGCUUGCGAGUAAAUUAUAAACCAGGCAGUCCAAGAAAGGCACCGAAUCGUCCUUUUGUCAACAGUUAUAGAAACAAGGAAGACGAGAAAGGCCCCGUUUCUUUUAUUUUUUUAGCCCCUUGAGUUUUCUUCUUUGACGUUAUGAAAACAUUCUACUUAGUGUCAUUAUGAUCGCAAUUCAAGAUUUAUACAUUCAUUUUAUAGUCAUAUUUCGUAGUAUUUGAAGACACGAGUUCACGAAAUGCAUACUGGUUGCAGUAUGCAAUGAACGUGCUCAGAAUGCAUGAAGAGAUGAAAGUUGACAUUUUCCCUGUUUAGGCCCUCUAUAACUGCGAAACCAAACCGUGAGAGUAAUCUACAAGUGUAACUCUGCUAUGCGAUUAGGAGUCCCUGCCUGACAUAAAUCUGCUAAGACCUGAAAGGAUCUGAAAUGACGUGCAAGAACGUGACAGCACCAUGUUAUAUUGCACCAUUUACAGCAUCAGCAUAAUAUAAACAUCAAGAUAAAACAACGGGUUAUUUUCAGUGAUCCGUUCAUAUCAUUUCAAUCACUAUAUUGCCUUUUGCACCAAAUGGAAUGUGUUUCGGUAGGUGGUUGGUUGGUUGUUUGUUGUUUAACGCCGCACUCAGCAAUAUUCCAGCUGUAUGACGGCGGUCUGUAAAUAAUCGCGUCUGGACCAGACAAUCCAGUGAUUUACAUCAAGAGCAUCGAUCCACGCAAUUGGGAUAAGAAGUCAUGUUUCGGUAGAUGAUCAAGUUUUAUGAACAUAUCGAACAUAAUAUGAAUCAUGUCUCAAUAAAAUGAUUAUGCAUG